AGGGUGUUUGGCUCAAUUUUUGAGCAAUUUGACAAUCCAUUGACAAGAACCUGUAUCAGGACUAUGCCAAAUCUGUUGAGGAACCCUGACUCUAAGCAUUAUUGGCAAUGUUAUAUUGGUUUAUAAUAAACAAUUCUUCUCUUUCCCAAUGCAUGUAUGUAUUGUUAAUAGGUAUUGCAUAUUUCUGUCUUCUCAUGUUUGUGUUCCUUGACUCCUGUCCUUGUGCAUCUUUGUCUCUUUUCUCUCCAAAGCCUUUCUCUCCUCCUCAUACACAUGUACGCAUAUGUCUAACUUUUGCUCUUUCUCGUUCCUUUGCUAGGUCUCUCACAUGUCUUCUCUCUUUCUUGUGUUAAUACAGUUUUAGUAUCAUACAUUGGUAUAUUACAGACAUUGUCACUUGCUGCAAUGUGGGAACAGGAAUGCAAAUAAAAUGCUAAAGAAAUUGUAACAGAUAUGUCCAACAAAGUAACAUUAAUGCUGUGUUGCAUUGGCUGAAGCAUAAUGAUGUGCCUCAAUCUUGCAAUGUACCUCUAUCUUGCAAUGGACCAAGGUACUACUGAUGUCAUCACAUAAUGAGUCUUACAUAAUUCAAGACAAAGGCGUCAAGACAACACUAAGACUAAAAACUGAUAUAUUAAAUUAUUGUGUUUUUUAUAAUUAUUAUUGUUCAAAUGGAAUAUUUGGCACUGUGCAGCAAA
rnacentral:lncRNA from 1 species